GAGGAGUGCUGCUUACUGAUUUGCU
rnacentral:piRNA from 1 species